rnacentral:tRNA from 1 species
GACAUCGUGGCUGAGCGGUUUAAGGCACUGGUUUGCUAAACCAGCGACCCGGCAACGGGUCCACAGGUUCGAAUCCUGUCGAUGUCGC